UUAACUGAAUCCAUAGGUUAAUGAGGCGAACCGGGGGAACUGAAACAUCUAAGUACCCCGAGGAAAAGAAAUCAACCGAGAUUCCCCCAGUAGCGGCGAGCGAACGGGGAGGAGCCCAGAGCCUGAAUCAGCAUGUGUGUUAGUGGAAGCGUCUGGAAAGGCGCGCGAUACAGGGUGACAGCCCCGUACACAAAAGCGCAUGUGCUGUGAGCUCGAUGAGUAGGGCGGGACACGUGGUAUCCUGUCUGAAUAUGGGGGGACCAUCCUCCAAGGCUAAAUACUCCUGACUGACCGAUAGUGAACCAGUACCGUGAGGGAAAGGCGAAAAGAACCCCGGCGAGGGGAGUGAAAAAGAACCUGAAACCGUGUACGUACAAGCAGUGGGAGCACCCUUUGGGUGUGACUGCGUACCUUUUGUAUAAUGGGUCAGCGACUUAUAUUCUGUAGCAAGGUUAACCGAAUAGGGGAGCCGGAGGGAAACCGAGUCUUAACCGGGCGUUAAGUUGCAGGGUAUAGACCCGAAACCCGGUGAUCUAGCCAUGGGCAGGUUGAAGGUUGGGUAACACUAACUGGAGGACCGAACCGACUAAUGUUGAAAAAUUAGCGGAUGACCUGUGGCUGGGGGUGAAAGGCCAAUCAAACCGGGAGAUAGCUGGUUCUCCCCGAAAGCUAUUUAGGUAGCGCCUCGUGAAUUCAUCUCCGGGGGUAGAGCACUGUUUCGGCUAGGGGGCCAUCCCGGCUUACCAACCCGAUGCAAACUGCGAAUACCGGAGAAUGUUAUCACGGGAGACACACGGCGGGUGCUAACGUCCGUCGUGAAGAGGGAAACAACCCAGACCGCCAGCUAAGGUCCCAAAGUCAUGGUUAAGUGGGAAACGAUGUGGGAAGGCCCAGACAGCCAGGAUGUUGGCUUAGAAGCAGCCAUCAUUUAAAGAAAGCGUAAUAGCUCACUGGUCGAGUCGGCCUGCGCGGAAGAUGUAACGGGGCUAAACCAUGCACCGAAGCUGCGGCAGCGACACUGUGUGUUGUUGGGUAGGGGAGCGUUCUGUAAGCCUGUGAAGGUGUGUCGUGAGGC
rnacentral:rRNA from 1 species